UACGUAGGGGGCAAGCGUUUGUCCGGAUUUAUUGGGCGUAAAGAGCGUGUAGGCGGCUUUACAGGUCCGUUGUGAAAACUCGAGGCUCAACCUCGAGACGCCGGUGGAAACCGUAAAGCUAGAGUCCGGAAGAGGAGAGUGGAAUUCCUGGUGUAGCGGUGAAAUGCGCAGAUAUCAGGAGGAACACCGGUGGCGAAGGCGGGUCUCUGGGCCGU
rnacentral:rRNA from 1 species